GAGUAAUGUCUGGGAAACUGCCUGAUGGAGGGGGAUAACUACUGGAAACGGUGGCUAAUACCGCAUAACGUCGCAAGACCAAAGAGGGGGACCUUCGGGCCUCUUGCCAUCAGAUGUGCCCAGAUGGGAUUAGCUUGUUGGUGAGGUAACGGCUCACCAAGGCGACGAUCCCUAGCUGGUCUGAGAGGAUGACCAGCCACACUGGAACUGAGACACGGUCCAGACUCCUACGGGAGGCAGCAGUGGGGAAUAUUGCACAAUGGGCGCAAGCCUGAUGCAGCCAUGCCGCGUGUAUGAAGAAGGCCUUCGGGUUGUAAAGUACUUUCAGCGGGGAGGAAGGUGUUGUGGUUAAUAACCGCAGCAAUUGACGUUACCCGCAGAAGAAGCACCGGCUAACUCCGUGCCAGCAGCCGCGGUAAUACGGAGGGUGCAAGCGUUAAUCGGAAUUACUGGGCGUAAAGCGCACGCAGGCGGUCUGUCAAGUCGGAUGUGAAAUCCCCGGGCUCAACCUGGGAACUGCAUUCGAAACUGGCAGGCUUGAGUCUUGUAGAGGGGGGUAGAAUUCCAGGUGUAGCGGUGAAAUGCGUAGAGAUCUGGAGGAAUACCGGUGGCGAAGGCGGCCCCCUGGACAAAGACUGACGCUCAGGUGCGAAAGCGUGGGGAGCAAACAGGAUUAGAUACCCUGGUAGUCCACGCCGUAAACGAUGUCUACUUGGAGGUUGUGCCCUUGAGGCGUGGCUUCCGGAGCUAACGCGUUAAGUAGACCGCCUGGGGAGUACGGCCGCAAGGUUAAAACUCAAAUGAAUUGACGGGGGCCCGCACAAGCGGUGGAGCAUGUGGUUUAAUUCGAUGCAACGCGAAGAACCUUACCUGGUCUUGACAUCCACAGAAGAAUCCAGAGAUGGAUUUGUGCCUUCGGGAACUGUGAGACAGGUGCUGCAUGGCUGUCGUCAGCUCGUGUUGUGAAAUGUUGGGUUAAGUCCCGCAACGAGCGCAACCCUUAUCCUUUGUUGCCAGCGGUUAGGCCGGGAACUCAAAGGAGACUGCCAGUG
rnacentral:rRNA from 1 species